GAUGAACGCUGGCGGCGUGCCUAAUACAUGCAAGUCGAGCGAAUGGAUUAAGAGCUUGCUCUUAUGAAGUUAGCGGCGGACGGGUGAGUAACACGUGGGUAACCUGCCCAUAAGACUGGGAUAACUCCGGGAAACCGGGGCUAAUACCGGAUAACAUUUUGAACCGCAUGGUUCGAAAUUGAAAGGCGGCUUCGGCUGUCACUUAUGGAUGGACCCGCGUCGCAUUAGCUAGUUGGUGAGGUAACGGCUCACCAAGGCAACGAUGCGUAGCCGACCUGAGAGGGUGGUCGGCCACACUGGGACUGGGACACGGCCCAGACUCCUACGGGAGGCAGCAGGAGGGAAUCUUCCGCAAUGGACGAAAGUCUGACGGAGCAACGCCGCGUGAGUGAUGAAGGCUUUCGGGUCGUAAAACUCUGUUGUUAGGGAAGAACAAGUGCUAGUUGAAUAAGCUGGCACCUUGACGGUACCUAACCAGAAAGCCACGGCUAACUACGUGCCAGCCGCCGCGGUAA
rnacentral:rRNA from 1 species